AUAAAUAUCAAUCAAUAGGGCCUAUGGUAGGCAGAAUAAUGCGCCCCCCCCAGAUGUCCACAUCCUGAUCCCCAGAAUCUUUGACUGUGUUACAUGGCAAGAGGGAAUCAAAGUUGCAGAUGGAAUUAAGGUUGUUAACCAACUGACCUUGAGAUGGAGAGAGGAUCCUGAUUAUCCAGGUGGGCCCAAUAUAAUCAUGAGGGUCCUUAAAAGUGGAAGAGGGCUGCAGGAGAGUCGGUGUCGGAGGGAUGUGGCAUGCAAAAGACUAUCUACCAUGGCUGGCUCUAAAGAUGGAAGGAGGCCGUGAGCCAACGGAUGCAGCAUUUCCUAGAAGGUGGAAAAGCCCUGGACUGAGCAGAGGGGAAGCUGGAAUUUAGAUACCAUUUGUGUUCCAGUGGCACAAUCUACAUGAGGAACCUGCAGUUUAUCCUCAUUCUUCACCUUAUAUUUUCUAAUAUGAAGCAGUCCUAAUUCUUUGAGCCAGGUUCUCCAGUCCUGGCGCUGUGUUUGUUGUUUCAAGAGAUAUCUGCCUCUCUGUUUUUCCCACAUAUUGUUAGAUAUGAUGGCAGAAGGUCUGAAGGCCUUGUCAUAAGAAGCCCUGGGCAGCUGGUGUAGUUUUUGCCAAUACAUGCAUUUGAGUGCUAUGACUUAUGAGCAAAGACAAGAGGGUUAAAGUACCUUUGAGCAAAUACACGAUCCUCCAGUGACUCCUCUGGCAAUACAUCAGAGGUUCUGCAAGACAGCUCCAGGCAACAAAUUGAGGCCAGCCAGAAUUGAUGGAGGAGACUGCUGCUCUGCUUUUAAAAAUACCUGCACUACAGUGCAUGACAACUGGCUUCUGCUUAAGUGCAUUUGAUGACUCCAAACUUGGCCUGAUUGGUAUU
rnacentral:lncRNA from 1 species